GUCUCGGUAGUGUAAGAGGUAAAGCACAGUGUUUGGAAAGCACAAGUACGGGCUCGAGUACCGUCCGAGACU
rnacentral:tRNA from 1 species